CCGCAACCGUUGGGGUGCCCCGAUCAGGGGGCUGAGAGGCGCGACUGCGUUAACCCAUCGAACCUGAUCCGGGCAAUACCGGCGGAGGGAACGGUGUCAUGCACACA
rnacentral:ncRNA from 2 species